rnacentral:tRNA from 1 species
ACUAAUAUGGCAGAAAAGUGCAAUGAUCUUAAGAAUCAUAAAUAAAUAACAUUUUAUUAGAU